AUUGAACGCUGGCGGCAUGCCUUACACAUGCAAGUCGAACGGUAACAGGUCUUCGGAUGCUGACGAGUGGCGAACGGGUGAGUAAUACAUCGGAACGUGCCUAGUAGUGGGGGAUAACUACUCGAAAGAGUGGCUAAUACCGCAUGAGAUCUACGGAUGAAAGCAGGGGAUCGCAAGACCUUGUGCUACUAGAGCGGCAGAUGGCAGAUUAGGGAGUUGGUGGGAUAAAAGCUUACCAAGCCGACGAGCUGUAGCUGGUCUGAGAGGACGAUCAGCCACACCGGGACUGAGACACGGCCCAGACUCCUACGGGGGGCAGCAGUGGGGACUUUUGGACAAUGGGCGCAAGCCUGAUCCAGCAAUGCCGCGUGCAGGAUGAAGGCCUUCGGGUUGUAAACUGCUUUUGUACGGAACGAAAAGCCCUGGGUUAAUACCCUGGGGUCAUGACGGUACCGUAAGAAUAAGCACCGGCUAACUACGUGCCAGCCGCCGCGGUAAAAC
rnacentral:rRNA from 1 species